rnacentral:rRNA from 1 species
UCCGCUGAGGUAGACUUGGCGUUGAAGACCCUCCCGUUCCUCUCAUUCCACAUGUGCCAAGCAAAAUAAGCAGCAUCAACGGCCUGCUCUUUGUUGCGCUGGGAGCAAACACUCCACCAAUGAGAGAUGGACUGAAUGCUAGCAGGCAGGGAAGGGUAGCACAAGGGCCGUGCCAAGCAUAGCUUGUUCCAAACAUCCUUGGCAAAAAGGCAUGUGUUGAAGAGGUGGAGUGCAGUUUCAGGGAGUUGGAGGCAGAGAGA